AGAGUUUGAUCAUGGCUCAGAUUGAACGCUGGCGGCAGGCCUAACACAUGCAAGUCGAGCGGAUGACGGGAGCUUGCUCCUUGAUUCAGCGGCGGACGGGUGAGUAAUGCCUAGGAAUCUGCCUGGUAGUGGGGGACAACGUUUCGAAAGGAACGCUAAUACCGCAUACGUCCUACGGGAGAAAGCAGGGGACCUUCGGGCCUUGCGCUAUCAGAUGAGCCUAGGUCGGAUUAGCUAGUUGGUGGGCUAAUGGCUCACCAAGGCGACGAUCCGUAACUGGUCUGAGAGGAUGAUCAGUCACACUGGAACUGAGACACGGUCCAGACUCCUACGGGAGGCAGCAGUGGGGAAUAUUGGACAAUGGGCGAAAGCCUGAUCCAGCCAUGCCGCGUGUGUGAAGAAGGUCUUCGGAUUGUAAAGCACUUUAAGUUGGGAGGAAGGGCAGUAAGCUAAUACCUUGCUGUUUUGACGUUACCGACAGAAUAAGCACCGGCUAACUCUGUGCCAGCAGCCGCGGUAAUACAGAGGGUGCAAGCGUUAAUCGGAAUUACUGGGCGUAAAGCGCGCGUAGGUGGUUCGUUAAGUUGGAUGUGAAAGCCCCGGGCUCAACCUGGGAACUGCAUCCAAAACUGGCGAGCUAGAGUACGGUAGAGGGUGGUGGAAUUUCCUGUGUAGCGGUGAAAUGCGUAGAUAUAGGAAGGAACACCAGUGGCGAAGGCGACCACCUGGACUGAUACUGACACUGAGGUGCGAAAGCGUGGGGAGUAAACAGGAUUAGAUACCCUGGUAGUCCACGCCGUAAACGAUGUCAACUAGCCGUUGGAAUCCUUGAGAUUUUAGUGGCGCAGCUAACGCAUUAAGUUGACCGCCUGGGGAGUACGGGCCG
rnacentral:rRNA from 1 species